rnacentral:rRNA from 1 species
UGGGGAAUAUUGCACAAUGGGCGAAAGCCUGAUGCAGCAACGCCGCGUGAAGGAUGAAGGCCUUUGGGUCGUAAACUUCUGUCCUUGGGGAAGAAAAAAAUGACGGUACCCCUGGAGGAAGUCCCGGCUAACUACGUGCCAGCAGCCGCGGUAAUACGUAGGGGGCGAGCGUUAUCCGGAAUUAUUGGGCGUAAAGAGUACGUAGGUGGUUUUUUAAGCGCAGGGUUUAAGGCGAUGCUCAACUGUCGUUCGCCCUGUGAACUGGAAGACUUGAGUACAGGAGAGGAAAGCGGAAUUCCUAGUGUAGCGGUGAAAUGCAUAGAUAUUAGGAGGAACACCGGUGGCGAAGGCGACUUUCUGGCCCUAUACUGACGCUGAGACGCGAGAGCGUGGGUAGCAAACA